GACGAACGCUGGCGGCGUGCUUAACACAUGCAAGUCGAACGGAAAGGCCCUGCUUGCAGGGUGCUCGAGUGGCGAACGGGUGAGUAACACGUGGGUGAUCUGCCCCUUACUUUGGGAUAAGCCUGGGAAACUGGGUCUAAUACUGGAUAGGACCAUGCUGUAGGUGGUGUGGUGGAAAGAUUAGUUUCGGUAAGGGAUGAGCUCGCGGCCUAUCAGCUUGUUGGUGGGGUAAUGGCCUACCAAGGCGUCGACGGGUAGCCGGCCUGAGAGGGUGGACGGCCACAUUGGGACUGAGAUACGGCCCAGACUCCUACGGGAGGCAGCAGUGGGGAAUAUUGCACAAUGGGCGCAAGCCUGAUGCAGCGACGCCGCGUGGGGGAUGACGGCCUUCGGGUUGUAAACUUCUUUCAGCCAUGACGAAGCCCUUGUGGUGACGGUAGUGGUAGAAGAAGCACCGGCUAACUACGUG
rnacentral:rRNA from 1 species